rnacentral:rRNA from 1 species
AUUGAACGCUGGCGGAAUGCUUUACACAUGCAAGUCGAGCGGCAGCGCGGGGGCAACCCUGGCGGCGAGCGGCGAACGGGUGAGUAACAUAUCGGAACGUACCCCGUCGUGGGGGAUAACACAGCGAAAGCUGUGCUAAUACCGCAUACGACCUGAGGGUGAAAGCGGGGGAUCGCAAGACCUCGCGCGAUGGGAGCGGCCGAUAUCGGAUUAGCUUGUUGGUGAGGUAAAGGCUCACCAAGGCGACGAUCCGUAGCUGGUCUGAGAGGACGACCAGCCACACUGGAACUGAGACACGGUCCAGACUCCUACGGGAGGCAGCAGUGGGGAAUUUUGGACAAUGGGGGCAACCCUGAUCCAGCCAUUCCGCGUGAGUGAAGAAGGCCUUCGGGUUGGUUAAAGGUACU